rnacentral:rRNA from 1 species
GUCUACAGCCAUGCCACCACCCUGAACAAACCCAAUCCUGUCUGAUCUCGGAAGCUAAGCAGGGUCGGGCCUGGUUAGUACUUGGAUGGGAGACCACCUAGGAAGACCAGGUGCUGUAGGCA